UGCCAGCCGCCGCGGUAAUACGGAGGAUGCAAGCGUUAUCCGGAUUCAUUGGGUUUAAAGGGUGCGCAGGCGGAUAUGUAAGUCAGUGGUGAAAUCCUGCCGCUUAACGGUAGAAUUGCCAUUGAUACUGCAUACUCUUGAGUAUGGUUGAGGUAGGCGGAAUGUGUAGUGUAGCGGUGAAAUGCAUAGAUAUUACACAGAACCCCGAUUGCGAAGGCAGCUUACUAAGCCAUAACUGACGCUGAGGCACGAAAGCGUGGGGAGCGAACAGGAUUAGAUA
rnacentral:rRNA from 1 species